rnacentral:rRNA from 1 species
UACAGAGGUCCCAAGCGUUGUUCGGAUUCAUUGGGCGUAAAGGGUGCGUAGGUGGCAGGGUAAGUUGGAUGUGAAAUCCCGGGGCUCAACCCCGGAACUGCAUUCAAUACUGCCCUGUUAGAGUACUGGAGAGGAGAUUGGAAUUCAUGGUGUAGCAGUGAAAUGCGUAGAUAUCAUGAGGAAGACCAGUGGCGAAGGCGGAUCUCUGGACAGUUACUGACACUGAGGCACGAAGGCCAGGGGAGCAAACGGG